GGCCGAGCGGGCAGGGAACAGAGGCUGCCCGGGGUUGGGAGACAGCCAUCCGCCAGGCACUGAUGCCUGUUAUCCUCCAAGAUGCACCCAGUGCCCCAGGCCACACACCACACAGACAAGCUUCUCUGAGCAUCUCUGUGUCCAACAGUCAGAUCCAAGAGAACGUGGUGAGUCUCCUACCAGCGCAGGACCUCUUCCUUCUGUCCUAAUUUCAUUUUAGUUCAUUAGGAUGAAUUACCCUGCUCAAAGCAACUCGGUGGGGGGGG
rnacentral:lncRNA from 1 species